CUCCUUACAUGGCUUUUCAGAAUGUUUAUUUCAACAUGUCAUGACUUUUGUAGUCAACAGAGGGAUGCAAUAUAAAGUUUGCAGUAAAAUCCACUGAGAAUGAAGUAGUUGGUCUGGGAGAUAGCUGGAUGACCCCUGAAGUGAAUGGUAAAAACAUUCUGAGAUUAACGGCCUGGUCUAAAUCCCACUGAAGACAACAGAAUCUCCCCUACUGUAAAGAUCCUCUAAAAACACCUGAGAGAAUUCAGCAGUGUUGGAAAGAGUCUCUACUGUAAUCACAUUUGUUAUAUAAAUAGCAGUUUAAAAUCUGUUUUUAGUUUCAUUCCGAUGCAGUUCGAUUAUUCAGAAUAGGUAUUUUCACGGAUUCAUAGAUUUA